AGCAGUAGCCGCGGUAAUACGAGGGGGGCUAGCGUUGUUCGGAAUUACUGGGCGUAAAGCGCACGUAGGCGGAUAUUUAAGUCAGGGGUGAAAUCCCGCAGCUCAACUGCGGAACUGCCUUUGAUACUGGGUAUCUUGAGUAUGGAAGAGGUUAGUGGAAUUGCGAGUGUAGAGGUGAAAUUCGUAGAUAUUCGCAGGAACACCAGUGGCGAAGGCGGCUAACUGGUCCAUAACUGACGCUGAGGUGCGAAAGCAUGGGGAGCAAACAGGAUUAGAUACCCCAGUAGUCCCUGUCUCUUAUAA
rnacentral:rRNA from 1 species